rnacentral:rRNA from 1 species
GACGAACGCUGGCGGCGUGCUUAACACAUGCAAGUCGAACGGAAAGGCCCUGCUUUUGUGGGGUGCUCGAGUGGCGAACGGGUGAGUAACACGUGAGUAACCUGCCCUUGACUUUGGGAUAACUUCAGGAAACUGGGGCUAAUACCGGAUAGGAGCUCCUGCUGCAUGGUGGGGGUUGGAAAGUUUCGGCGGUUGGGGAUGGACUCGCGGCUUAUCAGCUUGUUGGUGGGGUAGUGGCUUACCAAGGCUUUGACGGGUAGCCGGCCUGAGAGGGCGACCGGCCACAUUGGGACUGAGAUACGGCCCAGACUCCUACGGGAGGAAGCAGUGGGGAAUAUUGCACAAUGGGCGGAAGCCUGAUGCAGCAACGCCGCGUGCGGGAUGACGGCCUUCGGGUUGUAAACCGCUUUCGCCUGUGACGAAGCGUGAGUGACGGUAAUGGGUAAAGAAGCACCGGCUAACUACGUG